UUUUUUUUUUUCAUUUUUUUUUGAGACGGAGUCUCGCUCUGUCACCCAGGCUGGAGUGCAGUGGCGUGAUCUCGGCUCACUGCAAACUCUGCCUCCCAGCUUCACUCCUUUCUUCUGCCUCAGUCUCCUGAGUAGCUGGGGCUACAGGUGCCCGCUACCACGCCUGGCUAAUUUUUUGUAUUUUUGGUAGAGAUGGGGGUUUCACCGUGUUAGCCGGGAUGGUCUCGAUCGCCUGACCUUGUGAUCCGUCUACCUCCUCCUCCCAAAGUGCUGUGAUUACAAGCGUGAGCCGCCGCACCCGGCUGAAAACAUGUUUCUUUACUGCCUCAGUCCUCAGUUGGGUAGUAUGUUCUUUGUCUUGAAAGGCGCGCUCUGCGAGAUGGUAAUCUUCCGGUUGCUUACUUAGGGAAUCCUGCCGGCUGUCAUUGACGGGAGAGCGCAGUUUCCUGGCUGCCCUGGUCUUUGAGGGGAGGGAGACUGAGGGGUCAUUUUCCUACCUGGACCAACGUGUUUAUUAAACCUGGCUUGUGGAUCAUUUGGAUCUUUUUAUGAAGGAAAAGCCACAUCUGUGACUUUCAGAUGAGUGGAAGUCAUGUUAAAAAAUAUGUAUAUAUACAUAUAUAUUUUGGCUACUCUGGAGAAGUUUUGUCCUUGUGACCUGUGAAUACAGUCACAGGAGAGCAGAAUGUUCACGGUGUGGGUGCUUACAGUGUACAUGUAGAGUCACAUUCUUCACUAGUAUUACGUUAAAAAGUGACAAAUAAGAGAGAAAUAUUUUGCUCAUUACAACCUCGGUAAGAAGCUGGCAGCACUCUUGUUUUUGGAGGGGUGUGAAGGGAAUAUUGAGAAAGUAUCAUCAACGUUAGACUCGCCCACUCUGCAAAUCCUGGGCCGGCUCGCGUGAAGACCCCGUGAUGGAAAGAUGCACCCCUCUGCCCGGAAGGAGUUGAAUCUUUGUAGUGCUCAGGACGCAUGGUUCAUCUCUAUAUAAAGGCAGAGUGUGAAACGCCGUGGAGGCUGAGAGAAGAGAUGUGGUUAGCAAGUAUGAGUGAGACGUUUGGGGCUUGUUAGCACCUGGCGUGUGUGCAGCAAGCUUUGCUAUCUGCACAUGUGUGAUCCUUAGAACCCUGGCGUGUGGAGCCGUGAAGCUGUCGAGGGCCCCAGAUCCCGGCAGGCUGAGGAGUUCCCUGUUACCACCAGGAGAACCGUGAUUGAAGGCUGUCACUCAAUCCCAAGUCCCUGAAGGGAGUCCUUUCAGAGAGGAAAACACCCCUAGAGCCUCG
rnacentral:lncRNA from 1 species